CUCUAGAAUGAGUUUCUGUCUACUCCCCUGCUAGGAGAUCAAUACUAAUCAAUUGGUGACAGGGUUGCCGAAAGCAUAUGUUUGGUGGCUGGAGAUUGCAGUGGCAGUGGAGGCCCGAAAUGGCGCUGAAGGUUGAAGGCGCGUGAAGGCAAGAGGCUGGCUUUGUGUUGCAAGGACUAAAAAGAACUUUACAGGGUAUAUGAGACUGUAUGGUAAUUUAUGAAAAAAACGUAUAGUGGAUCCCUAAUGUAUCGUAUACUUUCAUUUAUACCCCUGGAAAGUUUGUUUUGUAUGUAGCUCCUGAUUCAAAGUAUGCUUCACUAUUUAGCCCAUAAAUUUUAGAACUGACAGAUUAAUCCUAAAAUGCUAUUGAAGUUACUUUUAACUGGA